rnacentral:rRNA from 1 species
AAGCUCGUAGUUGAAUUUCGGGAUUAGUACGUCGGUCGUGCCUUAGGUACGUACUGGUGUUACUGGUUCCUACCUUCUGACGAACCAUCAUGUCAUUAAUUUGGUGUGGUGGGGAAUCAGGACGGUUACUUUGAAAAAAUUAGAGUGUUUAAAGCAGGCUCGCGCUUGAAUACAUUAGCAUGGAAUAAUGAAAUAGGACGUUGAUCCUAUUUUGUUGGUUUCUAGGAUUGACGUAAUGAUUAAUAGGGAUAGUUGGG